CACACCCUCUCUCAAUUUCAUACCAAAACACAUCCAAAAAAAUAUGGGAUAUCUCUUCCCAUAUUUUUUCACAUGAAAUCAGUUCCUUAUCUAAUUUUUUACAAAAAAUCUUCUCAAAAUAUCACACAUAUAAUGAGAAAAAAAUAAGUUGGCAUGGAGAGAUGAUUUGGAUAAGAAUAGAUUCUCCUGAUAAAAAAUAUUUUGAAUUCUAAUUUUAAAACCUUCAUUUUAUCAAAAUCAAAUUAGAUUUGAAUGUGAGAUGGAGAGAGAGAAGAACUCUUUGAUAUAAAAAAAAUCUCAUACAAAAAUUAUUUGUGUGUGAAGAUAUAUGACGUCAA
rnacentral:lncRNA from 1 species